rnacentral:rRNA from 1 species
UACGGAGGGUGCGAGCGUUGGUCGGAAUCACUGGGCGUAAAGGGUGUGUAGGCGGUCCUCUAAGUCUGAUGUGAAAGCCCGGGGCUCACCCCCGGAAGUGCAUUGGAAACUGGCGGACUCGAGUCCCGGAGAGGAGAGUGGAAUUCCUGGUGUAGCGGUGAAAUGCGUAGAUAUCAGGAGGAACACCGGUGGCGAAGGCGGCUCUCUGGACGGUGACUGACGCUGAGACGCGAAAGCGUGGGGAGCAAACAGG